rnacentral:rRNA from 1 species
GACGAACGCUGGCGGCGUGCUUAACACAUGCAAGUCGAACGGUGAAAGCGGAGCUUGCUCCGCUGGAUCAGUGGCGAACGGGUGAGUAACACGUGGGCAACCUGCCCCUCACUUCGGGAUAACCCCGGGAACCCGGGGCUAAUACCGGAUAUGACCUCCUUGGGCAUCCUUGGCGGUGGAACGUUUUUCGGUGAGGGAUGGGCCCGCGGCCUAUCAGCUUGUUGGUGAGGUAGUGGCUCACCAAGGCGACGACGGGUAGCCGGCCUGAGAGGGCGACCGGCCACACUGGGACUGAGACACGGCCCAGACUCCUACGGGAGGCAGCAGUGGGGAAUAUUGCGCAAUGGGCGAAAGCCUGACGCAGCAACGCCGCGUGCGGGAUGACGGCCUUCGGGUUGUAAACCGCUUUCAGCAGGGAAGAAGCCGCAAGGUGACGGUACCUGCAGAAGAAGCACCGGCUAACUACGUGCCAGCAGCCGCGGUAA